rnacentral:lncRNA from 10 species
UGGUCUAGUCUAGAAAGAUCAGCUCACCUGCUCAAUGAAACAGGUGCAGAUUUCAUAACAAUUUUGGAGAGUGAUGCUUCUAAGCCCUAUAUGGGGAACAAUGACUUAACCAUGUGGCUAGGGGAAAAGUUGGGUUUCUAUACAGACUUUGGUCCAAGCACAAGGUAUCACACUUGGGGGUGAGUAUACCUUGGGAGUUAAUCCCGAAGAUAGUCAUGAAAGGCUAGGCUGCAUAGGCUUGGAGUGGCAAGUUGAUAUUGUAAUAUCUUUGGUGAAUGUGCCCCAGUGAUGCUUCUUGGGGGAUGAGGAGGUGCUGGAGAUAUGCACAUUCUGUAAUUUUUCAAAUGGUUUUUCUGUGGCUGGAUAUUUCCAGUUCUUCAGCAUUAUAAACCAAUCAAUCUAGGAGCUGAGGUUGCAGCACCAAGCAUGUCUGGCCUGGAUGCUGUCCUCAUGGAGCUUACCUUCCAGUGUAAGACAGAAAAUCAACAUGUACAC